rnacentral:rRNA from 1 species
AACGAACGCUGGCGGCGUGCCUAACACAUGCAAGUCGGACGAGAAAGUUUCCUUCGGGAAGCGAGUAAAGUGGCGCACGGGUGAGUAACACGUAGACAACCUGCCUUCCAGUCCGGGACAACCUUUCGAAAGAAGGGCUAAUACCGGAUAACACUUUGGGCCGCAUGGCCUGGGGUUGAAAGAUUUAUCGCUGGAAGAGGGGUCUGCGGGACAUUAGCUAGUUGGCGGGGUAAC